GUCGCGCGAGCCGGCCCCCGGCAUGAGAGAAAACGCACGACCUUAAUAAUGCAUGCGUAACUGUUCUCCCGUCACGACCUCAAGAGAGCUCAGCCUAAGGCGGGCAGCAGCUAAGCCAGAGGCCGGGAUGGAGCUCUGCGCCGUCUUCUUCUCCUCGGUCUUCUCCCUCCUCCUCCUCCUCCUCCUCUCAGCAGCCAAUGACGUCGUCGUGUCGGCGGCGACGUCGCCGCCGCUCAAGUUCGGGAUCAACUACGGCCAGAUCGCGAACAACCUGCCGCACCCGACGCAGGUGUCCGGCCUCCUCCAGUCGCUGAGCGUCAACCGGGUGAGCUCUACGACGCCGACCCGGCCGUCCUCGCCGCCUUCGCCGGCACCGGCGUGGAGUUCAUCGUCGGCAACGAGGACCUCCACAACCUGACCGACGCGCGCAAGGCCCGGGCGUGGGUGGCGCAGCACGUGCAGCCGUUCCUCCCGGCCACCCGCAUCACCUGCGUCACCGUCGGCAACGAGGUGCUCUCCGGCAAGGACACGGCGGCGAUGCAGAGCCUCCUCCCGGCCAUGCAGUCCGUCCACCAGGCGCUGCUCGACCUCGGCCUCGCCGGCAGGGUGAACGUCUCGACGGCGCACUCCGUCAACAUCCUCGCCACCAGCUACCCGCCGUCCGCCGGCGCGUUCCGGGAGGACCUCGCGCAGUACAUCCAGCCGCUGCUCAACUUCCACGCCGAGGUCGGCUCGCCGUUCCUCGUCAACGCCUACCCGUUCUUCGCCUACAAGGCGAGCCCGGCGAGCGUGUCGCUGCCGUACGUGCUGUUCGAGCCCAACCCGGGCGUACGCGACCCGGCCACCAACCUCACCUACGACAACAUGCUGUACGCCCAGAUCGACGCCGUGUACGCCGCCAUGAAGGCCAUGGGCCACGCCGACAUCACCGUGAGGAUCUCCGAGACCGGGUGGCCGUCCAAGGGGGACGACGACGAGGUGGGCGCCACCCCGCAGAACGCCGCCGCGUACAACGGCAACCUCAUGAAGCGGAUCGCCGCCGGGGAAGGGACGCCGCUCAAGCCGGCCGUCCCCGUCGACGUGUUCGUGUUCGCGCUCUUCAACGAGGACAUGAAGCCCGGCCCCUCGUCGGAGAGGAACUACGGCCUGUUCUACCCCAACGGCACGCCGGUGUACAACAUCGGCUUCGACGCCGCGUCCUUCAGCCCGUCGCCGACGACAUCCACGUUUUCCUCCUCUUCCAGGCCAACGAGUACAUUUCUGAUGGGGGUGGUUGUCCUACUCGCCGCAUUCCUCCUCUGACAAUUUUCUCCACAAGUAUAUUGCACGAAUGAUUUGGGAUUGUUUUUUGACCGAUAUAGUUCGAUUUGUGGUUGGUUGCAUAGCACAGAAAAGCAGAUACAUUGUUCUAACCUCGAGGUAAGCUUGUCUUGACCAUGUUCUUGUUCAGUUGCUCACACAGUUUUCAGAAACCGUUUUUUGUCAGUAAAAUUGCCAUCUUACAAGUUACAACUAGGUUAUUGCUUACUGUGUUAGCCAUGAAAUUGAUUAGUUCAGCAUAAUUUUGUAGACAUAAUGGUAGGUGAUGGGUCGAUCCUAUCUCAGUGGCAAGAUAUGUUUGGACAUUUUCGCAUCUGGUGCGUCAUGUGAAAGAUGUCGUUCAGUUAGCGCAUUUCCCAGGGAGGUAGGCCGGUGGUUGAUCGGUUGUUGCAUGUUUUAGGAUUCUAGCUCUGGCUAUCUCUUCAGAACUCUAAACUGACCGACCAACCAACGCCCAACGAGAAGAUUCUAGUUUGCGUCAUGGGCAAGAAUCGAAUAAGCAUUUGGCACAGAAGUGGGCAUUAUUCAGAAGCCAUUGAUUGUUCAUCAAUUUCGUCAGGAACAGAGCAUUAAACUAACUAAAUCCUCAAUAAUUUUCUCAUUUCGUUAUCUUAAUUGUGGAAUCUUGGAAGAAUUGAAUUGACUGUUUGUUGUAGAAAAUUAGGUGGGCUUUUUUUUUUCAUUCUAGCAUAUGGAUGUUUAGGCAGAUCUCUUACUAUUCCUCACAAUUGAAUUAGGUAGGAGUAAGAAGAGUACUCUGUCGCUAAGUUGACAAAAUGUGGAAUAUAUGCGAGGACAGCGUUUUCAUUCAUUGUAUAGUGGAGAUGAUCAAACAAGACUGUACUUUACCUGCUUUUGUCAACUAUUCGCUUAUAAUCAAUUACUCUUCCGGUACUAAAAUAUAACAAUUUAAUAUUGGAUUAGACACAUCAUAGUACUAUUAAUUUGAACUGUUAUAUCUUGGGACAGAGGGAAUAAUUGGUAGCUCUCUUGCUGUUAAGUUAAGAAAAAGUCAAACAAAACAAUACCCCUCUUUGUUUUCAUAUAUGGCAUGCUGCACCAAAAUGACAAAUUUAUUUGAAGACCAGUUUAAUUUCUACCAAGCCUAGGGAAACAAGUUUCUGUCUGAAACUUGCAUGUAAAAUCUGCAAUUAUGCUGCUAAUUUUCAUGCCAACAGGCCAGCCAAUAUAGCUCCUGAUAAUAUGUUGCUCCAUUCAUUUAUAAUGCAGGAUAGCAGGGUCCAUUUUUCAUCUAUAGUUUGGAUUUUAAAGAUUGUAAUCAUAGAGCACAGGAGAAGGGUCAUGCAUAUCAUAGGCACUCCUACACAGGAAAUCGUUUUCCCCAAGGAAUCAGAUUCAAGCCAAGAGUUAAAUUGGAAACACAGGUGGCAGUGACUUGUUCUGUAGCUGUGGUGAUUCACAUCACUUGCUGAUAGAGAGUGAUAGUGUUUUGUUUGCUUCUAUUAUUGCUGUAAAAAAAACAGUAAGUUUAAUAGUCUAUUCAUUUGGUUCCCAGUUAUACGUA